rnacentral:rRNA from 1 species
AGCAGUAGCCGCGGUAAUACAGAGGGUGCGAGCGUUAAUCGGAUUUACUGGGCGUAAAGCGUGCGUAGGCGGCUAAUUGAGUCGGAUGUGAAAUCCCCGAGCUUAACUUGGGAAUUGCAUUCGAUACUGGUUAGCUAGAGUGUGGGAGAGGAUGGUAGAAUUCCAGGUGUAGCGGUGAAAUGCGUAGAGAUCUGGAGGAAUACCGAUGGCGAAGGCAGCCAUCUGGCCUAAUACUGACGCUGAGGUACGAAAGCAUGGGGAGCAAACAGGAUUAGAGACCCCGGUAGUCCCUGUCUCUUAUAU